rnacentral:piRNA from 1 species
UUUGUGACAGUUGGAACUUUGGC